GACGAACGCUGGCGGCGUGCUUAACACAUGCAAGUCGAACGGAAAGGCCCUGCUUAUGUGGGGGGCUCGAGUGGCGAACGGGUGAGUAACACGCGAGUAACCUGCCCUUGACUUUGGGAUAACUUCAGGAAACUGGGGCUAAUACCGGAUAGGAGCUCCUGCUGCAUGGUGGGGGUUGGAAAGUUUCGGCGGUUGGGGAUGGACUGGCGGCUUAUCAGCUUGUUGGUGGGGUAGGGGCUUACCAGGGCUUUGACGGGUAGCCGGCCUGAGAGGGUGAGCGGCCACGUUGGGACGGAAAUGCGGCCCAGACUCCUACGGGAGGCAGCAGUGGGGAAUAUUGCACAAUGGGAGGAAGCCUGAUGCAGCAACGCCGCGUGCGGGGUGACGGCCUUCGGGUUGUAAACCGCUUUCGCAUGUGACGAAGCGUGAGUGACGGUAAUGGGUAAAGAAGCACCGGCUAACUACGUG
rnacentral:rRNA from 1 species